UAAGAAAAUGACACAUUCAGCGUCUUCUGGUUUAAGAUGAACAAAGGGAAUAUUUGAGAACCUGUUAAAAUCACCCAGCUCCAAGACACAAGAGCGUGUGCUGCAUCACGUGUGUGGAAAGGAAGCGGCUGUGUGGACGCAGACGUCGUCUAAACGGUGCCACCAAGACAUUGUCUGAACGGAACCACCGACCCCCCAUUUUCUUCAGAGCGAGGCUGCCCAAGGGCCCGGAGGCUGUGCCUGCCCCACGGAAAACACGACCGAACGCAACCUGGUCACGAGCAUGGA
rnacentral:lncRNA from 1 species